GCUCGAGGAUGGGUCUGCGCCGAUUAGGUAGUUGUUGGGGUAACGUCCCACCAAGCCGAAUAAUCGGUACGGGUUGUGAGAACAAAGAGCCCGAAGAUGGAUUCUGAGACACGAAUCCCAGGUCNUACGGGGCGCAGCAGGCGCGAAAAACUUUUACACUGCGCGAAAGCGCGAUAAGGGGACCUCGAGUGCAUGCGCAAUGCGUACGCUUUUCAUACGCCUAAAAAGCAUGUGGAAUAAGAGCCGGGCAAGACCGGUGCCAGCCGCCGCGGUAACACCGGCGGCUCGAGUGGUGGCCGCUAUUAUUGGGCUUAGAGGGUCCGUAGCCGGGCCAGUUAGUCCCUUGGGAAAUCUUACGGCUUAACCGUAAGGCUGCCAGUGGAUACUGCUGGUCUUGGGACCGGGAGAGGCAAGAGGUACCUCAGGGGUAGGAGUGAAAUCCUGUAAUCCUUGAGGGACCGCCAGUGGCGAAGGCGUCUUGCUAGAACGGGUCCGACGGUGGGGGACGAAAGCUAGGGGCACGAACCGGAUUAGAUACCCGGGUAGUCCUAGCCGUAAACGAUGCGAGCUAGGUGUCACGUGGAUUGCGAAUCCAUGUGGUGCCGUAGGGAAACCGUGAAGCUCGCCGCCUGGGAAGUACGGCCGCAAGGCUGAAACUUAAAGGAAUUGGCGGGGGAGCACAAGGGCGAAUUCCAGCACACUGGCGGCCGUUACUAGUGGAUCCGAGCUCGGUACCAAGCUUGC
rnacentral:rRNA from 1 species